UCCAGUUGGUACGUAGACACCCCAAUGCCGCGGACGACGACCGGCGCCAUGGUUUCGGUUCUGCUCAUGCUCGUCAUCCUGGUGGUGCGAGCCACUGCCGGCGCCGUUGCAGUCGACGUCGUGCCUUGGUCUGUCCCCAGCGAGAGCCUCGAGAUUGACUUCGAGUCCAUGCAGACGGGGUACCAGUACACACAAAUUGAGGAGGUGUACAACAGGGUCGUGGGGUUGAGCAGGUACAAUGCGUACGGCAAGCCGGUGAUGGCCAAGCAGACGGGCGAGGGUCAGCCGCCCCCCAAGUGGCUGCAUCUGGUGGCCCGGGGACAUGGAACGGAGGUCACCACGCUGGCCCUCAGGCAGGAUAAUCUCUACCUGGCAGGAUUCACCGACAAAUCAGGGUCGUGGUACACCUUCGCAAACAAGGCCCGGCACAAUCUGAUUCCAGGCGCAACGGUCCUCGACUUCGACGACAACUACGCGGGACUCUCGUGGGCUACGGCGGGUGGAAGAGCCUCCGCAACGUCAAGGUCGGCCGCGAGAGCAUGCUGCGCGCAAUUGCCACCUUGUCCAACUACGAUCACUCCCCACAGGCGGAUCAGGGUUGCCUCGCGCGAGGCGUCGCAGUCAUUGUUCUGACGGUGUGCGAGGCGAACCGCCUUCAGCCCAUCUUCAACGCCAUCCGGGCCAACUGGGUCGCCGGCGGGUUCCUCCCCUACCCAGUAUACAGGUACGUGGUGAAUUGGAAGACGGUCUCGUGCGCGCUAAUGGUGGCAGUUCAGCACGGGAAUCAGUGGGAUUUGGAGAAGGACGAAGCCCGCGCCCUGAAAACCGAGCUCAGCAUCGGCAGCUUGCCGGCGGCGGCGAACGCUGCCUUCCUGCUACUCUGCCCCGACAAGGAAAUGUGUUCCGAGAAGAUUAACUGGCUCAAGUAGCCCUACCCAGCCUUGUUGUGUGUGUGUGCGUGUCUCAGCAAGUAGACUUACUAUUGCAUGCAUGCAUGCAUGGAUGGAUGAUUUCUGCCACUCUGUUCACAACCCAACUUAUUACUUAUACAUGAAAAAUAAAAGGAUGCAU